rnacentral:rRNA from 1 species
GACGAACGCUGGCGGCGUGCUUAACACAUGCAAGUCGAACGGAAAGGCCCUGCUUUUGUGGGGUGCUCGAGUGGCGAACGGGUGAGUAACACGUGAGUAACCUGCCCUUGACUUUGGGAUAACUUCAGGAAACUGGGGCUAAUACCGGAUAGGAGCUCCUGCUGCAUGGUGGGGGUUGGAAAGUUUCGGCGGUUGGGGAUGGACUCGCGGCUUAUCAGCUUGUUGGUGGGGUAGUGGCUUACCAAGGCUUUGACGGGUAGCCGGCCUGAGAGGGUGACCGGCCACAUUGGGACUGAGAUACGGCCCAGACUCCUACGGGAGGCAGCAGUGGGGAAUAGUUCACAAUGGGCGGAAGCCUGAUGCAGCAACGCCGCGUGCGAGAUGACGGCCUUCGGGUUGUAAACCGCUUGCGCCUGUGACGAAGCGUGAGUGACGGUAAUGGGUAAAGAAGCACCGGCUAACUACGUG